UGCAUAGGCUGUGUACUGCACAAUUUCAGGUGGUGCUAUUGACUUAGACUGCAGUAUAAAGGGUGCCCCUGGAGCAGUGCAAAGUGUGGAC
rnacentral:miRNA from 1 species